AAUCAAUGUCGAGUGGCCUAGUUUGACCACUUUUCACGAUUGAUCUGUUGAUGUUUGUAGACAUAUACAGAUCCCGAUUUGUAGUAUACUAUACAAGCUACACGUAUGAUACAAUAACAUUAACAAAACACAUAAAACCUGAUAGAUAUAGAUAAUGCAAAUAUUGUCAGACGCCACCAAAAGCUUUCUGGGUUUACCCAGAUUAUCCUCGGUCAUGGUCGGUCAACCGACUUUGACCACGAUUAUCUUACAACUUAUGCAUGAUCUGGUUCGACUACAAGUUCUAGAACACAGAUCUCACAUCAUACAACAAAAACACAUAACAACCACAGAUUUACAGCUUCUGACAUUCGAUGUCAGAACACAAAAUGAAAGUUUUCCAGAUUUUUAAAAACAUCAAAUCCGAGCCUCUAGAUGUUAUGGAUCUAACAUCUAGCAACCCAGAUCAUCUCUAGACAACAUAAACAAUAUAUUUUAACACUUAAACACAACAUCUAACAAAAAAUUUUGGACAGAAAUUCAAGGUAGGGUUUAUACCUUAAAUGAACAAUUUCUGAUUUUGUGUUGCUGUUUUGUUGUUGGAUUUCGUGGGGCUGUUCUUAGGGACUGAAAUGCUUAGAUAAUUUCGUUGGUUUGAGAGAAAAUGAGAGUUGGUUAUGUAUUGUAUAAAAUUGGCUAACAAAAUCAUUUCUCUCUCUCUCUCAAUCCUUUAAAUAGACAAAUUGGAUGCAUGUAUGCUGAACUAGAGAGGUUUGCUGGCAAAAUAGGCAUGUGGAGUGGUUAGUGUUUG
rnacentral:lncRNA from 1 species